GGUGGAAGGGAGGAAGACGCGGGAUGGGUAUCGUGGAGGUUCAAGAGGUCCAAGGGGUGGUUUAUGGUAGAAGAUUGGAUUUCAGGAGGGAAGCCAGGAGUCAACAUAGAGAAUUGGGAAUCAUCUGCAUGGAGAGCACCAGCCCUUCAAGUCCGGAGGACCUGACCUCAGACACUUAACACUUCCUGGCUGUUCCACCCUGAGCAAGUCAUUUAACCCCAAUUGCCUCAGC
rnacentral:lncRNA from 1 species